UAACGCGUGGAUAACCUGCCGUAUGCAGGGGGAUACCAACUGGAAACAGUUGCUAAUACCGCAUAAGCGCACAGCACCGCAUGGUGCAGUGUGAAAAGAUUUAUCGGCAUACGAUGGAUCCGCGUCCGAUUAGCCAGUUGGCGGGGUAGAAGCCCACCAAAGCGACGAUCGGUAGCCGGCCUGAGAGGGCGGACGGCCACAUUGGGACUGAGACACGGCCCAAACUCCUACGGGAGGCAGCAG
rnacentral:rRNA from 1 species